GAUUUACUAGCUCAGUUGGUAGAGCACAUCCCUUUUAAGGAUGGGGUCCUGGGUUCGAACCCCAGGUGGAUCAC
rnacentral:tRNA from 1 species